rnacentral:rRNA from 1 species
AACGCGAAGAACCUUACCAAGGCUUGACAUCGCCCGGAAACACUCAGAGAUGGGUGCCUCUUCGGAUCGGGUGACAGGUGGUGCAUGGCUGUCGUCAGCUCGUGUCGUGAGAUGUUGGGUUAAGUCCCGCAACGAGCGCAACCCUUGUUCAAUGUUGCCAGCGCGCUCCUCGGGGGUGGCGGGGACUCAUUGGAGACUGCCGGGGUCAACUCGGAGGAAGGUGGGGAUGACGUCAAGUCAUCAUGCCCCUUAUGUCUUGGGCUGCAAACAUGCUACAAUGGCCGGUACAGAGGGUUGCGAUACCGUGAGGUGGAGCGAAUCCCUAAAAGCCGGUCUCAGUUCGGAUUGGGGUCUGCAACUCGACCCCAUGAAGUCGGAGUCGCUAGUAAUCGCAGAUCAGCAACGCUGCGGUGAAUACGUUCCCGGGCCUUGUACACACCGCUACAGU